GCCAGCGUGGUGUAGUGGUUUGAGCAUCUGACUAGGACUCUGGAGACCAAGGUUCAAAUCCCCGCUCAGACA